UACGUAGGGUGCGAGCGUUGCCCGGAUUUAUUGGGCGUAAAGGGCGCGUAGGCGGCUUGGCACGUCCGUUGUGAAAUCGCCCGGCUCAACUGGGCGGGGUCAGCGGAUACGGCCGAGCUUGAGCAAGCUAGGGGGCAAUGGAAUUCCCGGUGUAGUGGUGGAAUGCGUAGAUAUCGGGAGGAACACCAGUGGCGAAGGCGGUUGCCUGGAGCUUUGCUGACGCUGAUGCGCGAAAGCGUGGGGAGCGAUCCGG
rnacentral:rRNA from 1 species